UGUAUCUGAAGUCUGACGAGGAUGAGAACCUCCGGGGGCAAGAGGUGCGACUCGAGCGAAGCGAGAGAACGUUGCGUCAGCAACGGCCCGCAGGGCGAGCCACGCAGUGGCGAGUCAUCCUCUAUCACCGACCA
rnacentral:sRNA from 1 species